rnacentral:rRNA from 1 species
UACGGAGGGUGCGAGCGUUGUCCGGAAUCACUGGGCGUAAAGGGCGCGUAGGCGGCGCGGAUAGUCGGCGGUGAAAGCCCGGAGCUCAACUCCGGGUCGGCCGUCGAUACUUCCGGGCUUGAGCACUGUAGAGGCAGAUGGAAUUCCGGGUGUAGCGGUGGAAUGCGUAGAGAUCCGGAAGAACACCGGUGGCGAAGGCGGUCUGCUGGGCAGUUGCUGACGCUGAUGCGCGACAGCGUGGGGAGCGAUCCGG